GCCUUGUUUGCGCAGGAUAGGUGGGAGGCGUUGAAAAUUUUCUUGCGGGAAGAUUGGAGCCGUUGGUGAGAUACCACUCUAACAAUGCUAGGAUUCUAACCCUACACCGUUAUCCGGUUAGGGGACAGUUUCAGGUGGUCAGUUCGACUGGGGCGGUCGCCUCCCAAAAGGUAACGGGGGCGUGCAAAGGUUUCCUCGGGCUGGUCGGAAAUCAGUCGUAGAGUGUAAAGGCAUAAGGAAGCUUGAUUGUGAGACCUACAAGUCGAACAAAGACGAAAGUCGGCCUUAGUGAUCCGACGGUUCCGAGUGGAAGGGCCGUCGCUCAACGGAUAAAAGUUACUCUAGGGAUAACAGGCUGA
rnacentral:rRNA from 1 species